GUCAUGUCUAUGCCUUGUUGGCAAUUUAACCGGUCUUUGGAAUUUGUUGACUUGGUCGUCACUACGUAGGAUUACGGCCCGCGCCAUGUAAGGAUUUUAUUAUAUUACAACAGGUACACACCUUGUUUUUUUAUGAGAGACGAUAAAGAGGAUGGUAGAUAUACCAUCUAGGAUGCGGAGCCCGUAACACGUCAAAAGCUUAUAUGUAAUGGUUUGGCAUAGUGGAGCAAGGGGACGGAAGAUAUACCAUCUAGGGCACGGAGGCCCGCCAGAAGCUUAUACAUAUGUGAUGUUUUGGCAUAGUUGAUCAAUGGGCAAAAAAAAAAAUUACCAUACAUAAAUUGUAAUGUAUAUGAUGCAGUCUGGGUAAAAAAAAAAUUGUAUAUAAUGGAGCAUAAAGCACACACUUGGCACGGCUAGCGCCAAACGAACACCAAGACAUGUAAAACAGCGCUCGUCGUGCAUUGGGCGACCAACCAAGACACAAACUCUACAUCGACGAACAUGUUGUGCGCGCCGGUGUCAUGGGUGAAGGUGGCUCCUCCUCCGGACGCGGUGGAAGAAGAGGAGGAGGGCGCCACCGGAGCCGCAGGAAUAAUACGUACCCGACACGGCGACACCGCCGGAGCUGGAGCGCCGCACCAUACGGUUUCUUCGCGCGGGAGGCGGCGCGACUGAUGGAUCCCGCGGCGGCUCCUGGUUUUUCGAAGGCGCCUUCUCGGGAUGUUGUAUAUCAACUCAAAGUUUACUGCCAAAUUCAGCGAACCCCAACAAUACGGCACCUACGUGUCGGCAGCCGC
rnacentral:lncRNA from 1 species